AACUAAGUUUGUUAUUGGUAUGAGCUUUGGUGUGCAUGCACACUUCUUCAGAUGCUUCUUCAGACAGGUAUCUGAAGAAGUGAGCAUGCACAUGAAAGCUCAUACUAUGAAAAAGUUCUUCCUGAU
rnacentral:miRNA from 1 species